rnacentral:rRNA from 1 species
AUUGAACGCUGGCGGCAUGCUUUACACAUGCAAGUCGAACGGUAACAGGCCGCAAGGUGCUGACGAGUGGCGAACGGGUGAGUAAUGCAUCGGAACGUGCCCAGGCGUGGGGGAUAACUACUCGAAAGAGUAGCUAAUACCGCAUACGAUCUAUGGAUGAAAGCGGGGGACCGUAAGGCCUCGCGCGAUUGGAGCGGCCGAUGUCAGAUUAGGUAGUUGGUGGGGUAAAGGCUCACCAAGCCAACGAUCUGUAGCUGGUCUGAGAGGACGACCAGCCACACUGGGACUGAGACACGGCCCAGACUCCUACGGGAGGCAGCAGUGGGGAAUUUUGGACAAUGGGCGCAAGCCUGAUCCAGCAAUGCCGCGUGCAGGAAGAAGGCCUUCGGGUUGUAAACUGCUUUUGUACGGAACGAAACGGCUCUGGUUAAUACCCGGGGCUAAUGACGGUACCGUAAGAAUAAGCACCGGCUAACUACGUG